UCCCGGAUACGGCCCCGCCCCUAAACUUGCCCCUAUCCCCCGCUUGUAGGAAAGGAUUCCACACCUAUGGCGACUCUUCUCUUAAAGCCACUCUCAAUAGGAGGACCUUGGAGAGGGGACGGGCAGGUCAGGGGCGCGCUCCCCUGGGGCUUCUGCCCCAGUCGGCCUUGCCCCCCAGCGCCACCCACCGCACCUGCCCGCCCCCUUAGACGACACCUGGGUCUGCUCCAGCCCCACCCCACCCUGACCUGGGCCCUCAGGAGGAUGGAAGGGACAGGGUGCUCAGCUCUGCCACACGGUGACCUUGGGCGAGUCACUGAACUUCUCUGAGCUUCCAUGAAGGUAUCCUUACUGUUGCGUUUAGUUGUAUCGCUGUCUCCACCACAGAUGACCAAACGUAAGUCUUCGUUUUAAGUCCACUCUGGGAGGCACAUCAGAAGGAAGGGCCUCCCCCAGAGGCCGAAAGAGGACUAGAGGGGGCCUAGCAUGCCUAAGGUCACACGGCCUCAUGGCUCCCAUUAGUCUCAAAAGGAAACCCCUUUUCCAGGCUCCCUAAGACAGAUCUGCCAACUUGAGGGCUCAAAAGCCUCAAGAGACCUGUUUCUGAGGCUGGUGGGAAGGGGAGUCAAGCCAAGCCCACUGCAGGAGAGAGAGGGGACUGCCUCCAUUUUUACCAAGUCCCCAUUGUGCACUCCGGGUGGACCUAGACCCACGGUUCACUUUUUCACCCUGCCAGGAGGCUUUUGCUGCUCGUGGUACAAAGCUGUGCAAAUGGGCCAUGUCCCAUCCUGGACGUGAGCGUACACCUGAGGCCCUCCCUGCUAAAUGGGCUCAAGCAGCCCCUUGCCCUCUCUGGCCCCAUUCCUAGGCCAUUUGGGCAGCUCCUUGGGCCCACCACUCAGUCACUCAGGCCCAGGCAGGAGCUCCCAGCCUGCCUGAGGCUGACCCCCGGCCCACUGACCCCAGCCUUGGCGGGCAAGCAGGCAUUGCUCAAUCUUAAACGUUAUCUGCUGAGCUGGGGUGACCUCUGCCCUGGAGAGCUGGAGAAAUGACAUCUCCAGGAGCGCCCUUGAGGGGUGGGGGGCAGGGAGGGGGGGAUGAAACACUAACCUGGCCUGCUAGCUUUCUGGGCCUUCCCAGCACCUGGGAGGUAUCUGAGGCCCCAGGGCCCCAGGGCCCCUCAGCCCUGGGACACUCAGGUCUGAGCUGGAGGCUCACCGCCUCCAAGAUGCCCUCCCUGCCCCACUUGCUGGUGAACUUCCUGCCUGGCCCUUAUCUCCAGCUGCCAUUAUCCUAGUUGUCUUGUCUACCCCUCUCCCCGCGCAACUGACCACACCAUGAGGACUGUCCCUUCAGUACUGGAACUCCUGGGCUGGGCCUAUCCAAAAUUUACCAGCAAAUGAAUGCACUUCCUGUUCCCUCUGGACCAAGAAGAUUGUCCCCCCAGCUCUGCCCAAGGCUCAGCCCAAAGGUUACCACCUCGAAGAAGCCCUUCCUGACCUUCCCAUCAAAAGUCCCAGGCCCUCAAUCACUCCUUUCACACCCCCUGCUUUAUUUCCUUGACUGUUCUUAUGACUAUCAAAGUUAUUUUAACUACUCACCUUGCUUUCUGUCCCUGCUGCCUCCUUCCCAUGUCAGCCCCAACAGGGCAGGGAUUUUUUGUUUUGUUCACUGGUGUACCCCAGUGCCUAAAACAGUGCCUGGCACACAGAAGGUGCCUAAAACAGAUGAAGAAGGCUGAGUACAAGGUGAGGUCCCCCAUUAGCUGGGCUGUGUGACAUCAGGCAAGAUGGCUCCCCUCUCUGAGCCUCAGCACCUGCCUCCCAACUCUCAGGAUUCUGCGGAAGAUGCAGUGAGACCUGGUGGGGUCUGAAGGAAUCAGGUCCUAUUAUUAAUCUCCACUGUACAAAUGAGGAAACUGAGGCCCAGCAGAGCUAAGUGUUCCUGCUCAAGUUCACAUUAAAGAGGCGGGAAGGAUUAAAGUCCUUCCAGCCUGACCUUC